rnacentral:rRNA from 1 species
UACGUAGGGGGCAAGCGUUGUCCGGAUUUAUUGGGCGUAAAGAGCGUGUAGGCGGCCAGACAGGUCCGUUGUGAAAACUAGAGGCUUAACCUCUAGACGUCGAUGGAAACCGUCUGGCUAGAGUCCGGAAGAGGAGAAUGGAAUUCCUGGUGUAGCGGUGAAAUGCGCAGAUAUCAGGAAGAACACCCGUGGCUAAGGCGGUUCUCUAGUACGGUACUGGCGCUGAGACGCGAAAGCGUGGGGAGCGAACAGG